AGAGAGGGAGCAAUGAAGGAUGUCUAAGGUCAUCAGCAACGUAAAGCCAACAGCAUCAUCCUGAGUCAUGUUUGAACCUGAGGGAAAGAAACAUAUGUUCGAAGAGGUUCUGAGGCUGCUGCACCCGAUAUCAUACCUGGUUGGCCCUGGGAAAGGGCCCACCUCCAAUACAUAAACACAACCAGCUUUGACAGUGAGCCCUGAAGCAUGGCAUUGAGAAGCUGCCUAAGAAGGAGGCAGAUCCAUCAGCCUGGGUGCCCGACUGAUUACCCUGAGCAGAGCUCCCCAGCCCACCUGUGAUGGACGCAUGGAGCUUGAGCAAGGAAUAAAUAUUCGUUGCUGGACUCUGAUUACACUGGACCUAUCCAAGAUCUGAGAUCAUCAACUCAUCUCAAAAUCCUUAAGCUGACCACAGCAGCAUCGUCCCUUUUGCAGUGUAAGGGAGCCCAGCUGGGACAAUGUGUGAAUCAACGCAUGAAGGAGUGAGUGAGCAGCUAACCAAAUGAAAGAAUACUCAGAUAUCUGGGGUACAGUUCCCCUCCAGGUUUGCACAGCAUCUGCUGAAGUCUCCACUAGAAACUCAAUGGAAGGUCCCCACCGGAAACUGAAAGUCUCCUAGAGUGGCUUUGAGUUGCGGUUUCACCCUCCCUGCAGAUCCACAGGGGAGGCUGGGGCAGAUGGAAAAUACCAACUUGAUGGUCUGUGGCCACACCAUGCUGCUCCCCAAGGCCCCUCAGAAUUUCACUGCCCAAUAUGGUAGCGCCCAGCCUGAAACGUGGCCAGUGUGAAUUGAGAUGGGCUGGAAAUGCACCAGACUUCCAAGAGCUGGACAAAAACCAUAUAC
rnacentral:lncRNA from 1 species